CACGUAGGGGGCAAGCGUUGUCCGGAUUUAUUGGGCGUAAAGAGCUCGUAGGCGGUUUCGUAAGUCGGGUGUGAAAACUUCAGGCUCAACCUGGAGACGCCACCCGAUACUGCGAUGACUAGAGUCCGGUAGGGGAGUGUGGAAUUCCUGGUGUAACGGUGAAAUGCGCAGAUAUCAGGAGGAACACCAACGGCGAAGGCAGCACUCUGGGCCGGAACUGACGCUGAGGAGCGAAAGCGUGGGUAGCGAACAGG
rnacentral:rRNA from 1 species